GAAAGCCGUUUGUGAUGAGAAUUGCAAGAACGGUUUGGGGAGAUAUUGUUGUGAGGGAAAUCUCCUUACGGACUAGCAAAUAGGGUUAUACUUUGC
rnacentral:ncRNA from 1 species